rnacentral:rRNA from 1 species
UACGUAGGGUGCAGGCGUUAAUCGGAAUUACUGGGCGUAAAGCGUGCGCAGGCGGUCUGCUAAGAGAGAUGUGAAAUCCCCGGGCUUAACCUGGGAACUGCGUUUCUAACUGGCAGGCUUGAGUGUGGCAGAGGGGGGGUGGAAUUCCACGUGUAGCAGUGAAAUGCGUAGAGAUGUGGAGGAACACCGAUGGCGAAGGCAGCCCCCUGGGCUAACACUGACGCUGAGGCGCGAAAGCGUGGGGAGCGAACAGG